rnacentral:rRNA from 1 species
CACUCCUACGGGAGGCAGCAGUGGGGAAUUUUGGACAAUGGGCGAAAGCCUGAUCCAGCAAUGCCGCGUGUGUGAAGAAGGCCUUCGGGUUGUAAAGCACUUUUGUCCGGAAAGAAAUCCUUGGCUCUAAUACAGUCGGGGGAUGACGGUACCGGAAGAAUAAGCACCGGCUAACUACGUGCCAGCAGCCGCGGUAAUACGUAGGGUGCGAGCGUUAAUCGGAAUUACUGGGCGUAAAGCGUGCGCAGGCGGUUUGCUAAGACCGAUGUGAAAUCCCCGGGCUCAACCUGGGAACUGCAUUGGUGACUGGCAGGCUAGAGUAUGGCAGAGGGGGGUAGAAUUCCACGUGUAGCAGUGAAAUGCGUAGAGAUGUGGAGGAAUACCGAUGGCGAAGGCAGCCCCCUGGGCCAAUACUGACGCUCAUGCACGAAAGCGUGGGGAGCAAACAGGAUUAGAAACCCGAGUAGUCCCAUG